CAAGUCUGUCAGCCGAGCCUGCUUUUGUGUGAAUGGAAAGUAAACGGAUUGAUCAGCGCCAGGGGCGGCGAUGUUGAACUUGGGAUCGAAGACGUUGACGCCUGUGGCGUAGCGACACAGCCCUGGCAUUGUGAAGGCGUAGUGGCUCUCAUACUGCCCAGGUGCUAGCGAUGAUGAAGUCGCUAGUGUUCAUGGCGAUCAUGUCGGCAGUGAACUGGCAGGAGAAAUGGAUUUCAUCUCGAUAGCUCAUUUUCACCUGGGUGACCCCGAGUUUGCUCGACAAGAGGGAUGCUACUAGAUUGCCAUCGGUGUAAUUGCCGAUGACCAUGUCUGGCUUCCCCUCAAGUAUGUCAAGAAUCUUGACAGAAGAAUCCUGAAACCACCAUGAUAAAGGUAAGGGUAAAUGUCAAACCGGGAGACCCACUGGCGAAGAUCUUUCCCAUCAUCAGUCUUGAAUGGCACGCGGAGGAUGCUCGAGUGCUUCGUGUGCUCGACCGGUUCAAGCUCAACGUUGCACUUGGUUCCCUUUGCGUCCGGUAUGAGUCUUGUUAACUGCAAGAUGUUCGAGCAGCUGUCAAAAGCUUCCUCCUUGCAGCGUGAGGUCAUGGUAGUUUAAUGAAGGCGAUCGAAGCUUACCACAAGAAUCUUCGGGGUAACAUUCAGGCCCUGCCGCUUGAUUCUUUGCAACAAUUCCUCUUCAAGAGCUCUAACUUGGUCCAGGAUGUAAACUACCUGUCAAGGAAAGAUUGAAAUGUUGGCUUCUGUUUCAAGCAUUGAUACCUGUGGAUUCAGGGUUAUAUCUUCCAUUGUGGGAUAAUGAUCCCUGUACCUGACCGCCGGUAUCCGGCAACCCAAGGACCUUCUCUUGACCAAAGUAACCGUGGAUGGAGAAGAUCACGAUGCUGAACACCGACGGCACCCUGCUGAAGAACUUCUCCAUGUUGAUCGGAUCCGGCGCCUGGAGCACUUCGGAGAGGAAGUUGAGUGUUUCUCUGCAUGUUUCGGCAGUGUCACCCCACCCCUUCUCCAAUCCCCACUCCUGAAACCUGCAACAGCCAGCAAACACAUCUUUGAUAAGUGUGCUCUUCUCCAGGCCUGCGACGAAGACCUCUGCAAGAAGCAAUGCUGUCUGAAGCUUGUCGGCGGUGUCGAUGGUGUCGCUGAUCAUCAGUUUCUGCAAGAAAGUGAGGAGAGGCCGAGCUCAUUCUACCGUCGACACUGACCAUGCCGAAUGGAACGAUCAAUCAACAUGCAUGCUUAGUUGUUGCUUACCUCGCCGCGGUAGUUCAGAUUUAGCAGGUAGUCCAGCAGCGGCUUCAUGCUCUCCGGCUUGCCGCUCAGCUUUGACGACAUGAACCGGGAGACGAACUGCAUCCCGUUGCCGAUGGACGACGGCAGCGUCAGAUGAGGCGUGGAGAGGUCCAGCGCGCCGAAAUCGACCUCCAGCGAGUUGUCGUCGCGCGCCCUGAAGAAACAACAACAGCAGCCAAUCAAGCCUGGGUUCAUCAGGUUUCUUUCUUGUAGUAUGUAUAGAUGAAUUGAUGAUGCAGUACCAUUUUUCGUCGUAGAGGGUCUCCUUGCACUUGAGGUAAGCGGAUGGCGUGAUCUCCUCGACGGAGAGGUCCCCGGAGUGCACCCUGAUGAACUCCCAGACGCCGGGGUUGGUCCGGACGGCGAAGGCGACGAGGGGAGGGAGCACGACGGCCUCCUGCGUGGAGCAGAUGACGUAGCCGAGGAAGCCCUCGGCGAGCCUGGCCUUCUCGGGCUUGUCGUCGCCCGCCGACGCCUCCAGCUCCUCCAUCAGCUGCUGGUUCCUCAUCAGCCUCCUGCCCUUGGAGACAUACCUGCAGAGCAAGGAAGGAUCCGUCAUACAUUUCAGAGAAAGAAAGAAAGAAAGGAGUGUUUGUGUUGUGGACUUGUGGUACCUACCUUUGGAAGCACCUCUUCAUCUGGUAGCGGCUCUGGCGCAGCGCCUCGGGCAUCAUGUCGGCGACGCUGUCGGACCUCCUGAGGGGCAUGUAGGAGGAGGAGGAGGAGGAGGCCAUGGCUGAGCUGAGGUGGAGAUGGAGGCCUGGAUGGUUUAGCUUGGUGGUGGUGUUAUGUGAUGGCAAGGCAAGUUUAUAGACAAGGGGAGGAAGAUGGAAGCAAGUUAACUAAUUAUGCUCUCCUCUGUCUCUGUCUCUGUCUGUCCCUUUCAGAGGAGAGGAGGAAGAUGAAAGGCAAGAGAGGAAGGAGAGGAAGCAAAGGAAAGAAGAGUGAUGGGUGGCACUUUAAGCAAGGCAUUUAUUUUGUUCCUCUUGUUAAUCAAUUUGUUUAUAUGUUAGAUAAGAUUCGAUUAAUCGUUGGUGCAAAAACAUUCAGUUUAAUUCAUGCCCGCCUGUAAAUGCAAAACUGAACUGCAUGUCAGAAGAUGAUAAUUUUCAUGCUCAGUUAAAUCUUGUCUGGGUGUAAAAUUAAGAUGGAAGGAGAAUAUUUGUUGGCUC